AUGGAGCUGAAAGGUGUCCUCUCAGAAGCCCAGCUGGUGGAGUCUGGAGGAGAGGUCAAAAGGUCUGGAGAGUCCCUUCGCCUUUCCUGUCGAGCCUCUGGGUACAGUUUUGAUGACUAUGAGAUGGACUGGGUGAGACAGUCUCCAGGGAAGGGUCUGGAAUGGCUGGCAGAGAUAAACGGUGGUGGGGGCAUCCAAAACUAUGCCAGCUCGGUGCGAGGGCGCUUCACCAUCUCCAGGGACAACCCUUCCAGCAUGCUGUAUCUGCAAAUGAACAGCUUGAAACCUGAGGACACAGCUCGGUAUUACUGUGCCAGAGACACACAGUGA